AGCGAACGUUAGCGGCGGGCCUAACACAUGCAAGUCGAGCGAGAAAGGGGCUUCGGCCUCGAGUAGAGCGGCGGACGGGUGAGGAACACGUAGGUAAUCUGCCCUUCGAUGGAGGACAACGGUCCGAAAGGACCGCUAAUACUGCAUACGUUCCCCGGGAUUCCGGUCCUGGGGAGGAAAGCCUCGCAAGGGGCGUCGGAGGAGGAGCCUGCGUCGCAUCGGCUAGUUGGUGGGGUAACAGCCUACCAAGGCGAAGACGCGUAGCUGGUCUGAGAGGAUGAUCAGCCACAC
rnacentral:rRNA from 1 species